rnacentral:rRNA from 1 species
UACGUAGGGUGCGAGCGUUAAUCGGAAUUACUGGGCGUAAAGGGUGCGCAGGCGGUCCCGCAAGUCAGGCGUGAAAUCCCCGGGCUUAACCUGGGAAUGGCACUUGAAACUACGGGACUGGAGUGUGGCAGAGGGAGGUGGAAUUCCACGUGUAGCGGUGAAAUGCGUAGAUAUGUGGAGGAACACCAAUGGCGAAGGCAGCCUCCUGGGUCAACACUGACGCUCAUGCACGAAAGCGUGGGGAGCAAACAGG